rnacentral:rRNA from 1 species
UACAGAGGUCUCAAGCGUUGUUCGGAUUCAUUGGGCGUAAAGGGUGCGUGGGCGGCGCGGUAAGUCGGGUGUGAAAUCUCGGAGCUUAACUCCGAAACUGCAUUCGAUACUGCCGUGCUUGAGGACUGGAGAGGAGACUGGAAUUUACGGUGUAGCGGUGAAAUGCGUAGAUAUCGUAAGGAAGACCAGUGGCGAAGGCGGGUCUCUGGACAGUUCCUGACGCUGAGGCACGAAGGCCAGGGGAGCAAACGGG